GCCUAAGACGCGGGUCGAGGUUCCCCAUCCCAGGCAUGGCGAUGGGGCUAAGACGGGAAGCCGGUGAUGCCCCCUGCGGGCAAAAUCCGGCGCUGCCCCCGCAACUGUAAGCGGCGAGCGGCGGUUCCAAUUCGUGUCACUGGGCGCUGCACCCGCGCCCGGGAAGGCCGGAACCACCGCGUUGACCCGUGAGCCAGGAGACCUGCCUCCGACGCCAUAACGUU
rnacentral:ncRNA from 2 species